rnacentral:lncRNA from 1 species
CAGGGGAAGAAAAGUACUUGGUGAUCUCAGUGAAUGAGGUCUUCAACUGCUAAGCUGCUUUUUCCAACUGGCAGAAGCCCUUGAGAAGAGUUUAUUAAGAAUGAAGGAAAAAAAUAAUCCCUGUGUAGUUUACACAAAUGUCCCUAAAAUUCAUCCCCCACCCAUACAUUGAGCAGUACCACGUGCCUGGGGGUACAGCCCUGAACAAGUGCCCACCAUCCUGGCCCUUGGGAAGCUGCAUUCCAUGGGGACAUCUGCAAACCACAGGGAAUGAUGUACGCCUUGAACCAAACCAGUCAGAAGAAAAAGGAGGUGGUUGACUUUGAGUUGAGUUAUUUUCCAACCUCAAGCUUUCAGCAUCACUUACCCCGUCUCAUAAGGGAAACCUGGCUCUCCUCAAAACGAGCAUUCAAGAUUUAAAAUAAAUGUUAAAAACAAAA